rnacentral:tRNA from 1 species
AAUGAUGUGGCUCAAUGAUAGAGCACUUGGCUAGCAUACAAGAGGCCUGGAUUUCAUUCCCAUUAUUG